CUUCAACUGUGGGGACACAGAGGACAGGACGCGGUGAUCAUCACCACCAUGGCCUGGUCCCCUCUCCUGCUCACCCUCCUCGCUCACUGCACAGGCUCCUGGGCCCAGUCUGUGCUGACCCAGCCGUCCUCAGUGUCUAGGGCCCCGGGACAGAGUGUCACCAUCUCCUGCUCCAACAUUAGGAGUAGUUAUGUGAACUGGUACCAACAGCUCCCGGAAACGGCCCCCAAACUCCUCAUCUAUGAUGAUAGCGAUAGAGCGUCAGGCGUCCCUGACCGAUUCUCUGGCUCCAAGUCUGGCAGCUCAGCUUCCCUGACCAUCAGUGGGCUCCAGGCUGAGGACGAGGCUGAUUAUUACUGCUCAGCAUGGGACAGCAGUCUCAGUGCUCCCACAGUGCCCUUGGGGAAGUGA